rnacentral:rRNA from 1 species
UACCAGCUCUUCGAGUGGUGUGGAUGUUUAUUGGGCCUAAAGCAUCCGUAGCUGGCUGGGCAAGUCCCCUGUUAAAUCCACCGAUUUAAUCGUUGGAGUGCGGGGGAUACUGUUCGGCUAGGGGACGGGAGAGGCAGACGGUAUUUUCGGGGUAGGGGUGAAAUCCUAUAAUCCCGAGAAGACCACCAGUGGCGAAGGCUGUCUGCUAGAACGCGCCCGACGGUGAGGGAUGAAAGCUGGGGGAGCGAACCGGAUUAGAUACCCGGGUAGUCCCAGCUGUAAACGAUGCAGGCUAGGUGUUUGGACGGCCACGUGCCGUUCUAGUGCCGCAGGGAAGCCGUUAAGCCUGCCGCCUGGGGAGUACGGCCGCAAGGCUGAACUUAAAGGAAUUGGCGGGGAGCACAGCAACGGGAGGAGCGUGCGGUUU